CCACACUGUCUCCGCACUUACCCAAUAUAGUAUAGUAGUAGUAUAAAAGAAAAAAGAAAACACGACCAUUUGCUUCUCACUUCACCACCACCAACUUUUCUUCAAUGGCUUCUCUCACUGGCGCCGCCUCUCGUUUCCUCCCCUCCAUCAAAUUCACCAGCUUCUCCACCAAACUCUAUUUCUCAUCCUCUCACGUGUCACCUCUUAAGUGCCCUAAAUCAUCUCCUCUUUUAUCCCACGUGUUUCGCUACCAGAAGCAAUCAUUGGUUCGAGUAUCAAGUGGAAGUUUUAGCACUGUAUCAUCGCCUAAAUGUGCUGCAUCUGAUCCUGAUCAAUUGAAAAGUGCCAGAGAGGAUAUUAAAGAGCUACUUAAGACUAAGUUUUGUCAUCCUAUUUUGGUUCGUUUGGGCUGGCACGAUGCUGGUACUUACAACAAGAAUAUUGAGGAGUGGCCUCAAAGAGGUGGAGCUAAUGGAAGCUUAAGAUUUGAAGUCGAACUGAAACAUGGAGCCAAUGCUGGACUUGUAAAUGCACUGAAACUUCUCCAGCCUAUCAAGGACAAGUAUUCUGGUGUGACUUAUGCAGAUUUAUUCCAGCUGGCCAGUGCAACCGCUGUUGAGGAGGCUGGGGGGCCCAAGAUUCCCAUGAAAUAUGGGAGAGUGGAUGUGUCUGAACCUGAGCAAUGCCCAGAAGAAGGAAGGCUUCCUGAUGCUGGUCCCCCUUCCCCUGCUGCUCAUUUGCGUGAUGUCUUCUACAGGAUGGGGCUAAAUGAUAAGGAAAUUGUCGCACUUUCUGGGGCUCACACUUUGGGGAGAUCCAGACCAGAACGUAGUGGCUGGGGCAAGCCCGAAACAAAAUACACGAAAGAUGGACCAGGAGCCCCAGGAGGGCAAUCAUGGACCGCGCAGUGGCUGAAAUUUGACAAUUCCUACUUUAAGGAUAUUAAAGAGAGACGAGACCAAGAUCUGCUAGUUUUGCCAACAGAUGCUGUUCUUUUUGAAGAUCCUUCGUUUAAGGAAUAUGCAGAGAAGUAUGCUGUAGAUCAAGACUCAUUUUUCAAAGAUUAUGCUGAAGCACAUGCUAGCCUGAGCAACCUUGGAGCUAAAUUUGAUCCCCCUCAGGGGUUCUCCAUUUAAAACAUUUUCACCCGAGGUCAACCAGAGAAAUUUGUGGCAGCCUACCUGUAAGGAUUAACUACAAAUUAUCAUAUCUACUUCUGCCGUUACUUUUAAUUAGACAAGAUCAGGCUAGGCUAAUACCAAAUCCUGUGUAUCAAACUUGAAAGCCUAGUGGAGAGAAAUAAAUUCAACGAGUCUUCCCUAUUUGAAUUGCAGAGAAGCUCUCGGAUGCUAUGAACCAAAAUAUUCAGCAGAAUAUGAAGCUUUAGGGGUAGCCCAGACAAGCAUCUCCUGACAAACUAUUUUCUAUAUAUCAUGAUUCUAAUUGGUGUUGGCACGUUUGACUUCUCUCUGUUUGGGAAUUAAGGUUUUUUGACUGAUAUGAUAGGAGAUAUGCGUUGUGUUUUCACAGUCUUGGCUUAGGAAUAUGUUGCAAUCACUCACGAUGUUGCUUGGUUAUGGACAUGCUACUUGAAUUAUACACUUCAUGCCUUGAAAUUCACUUAAUAAGGACUGGAAUAGCUGCAAUUUUCUACUUCAA